UCAACAGCCUUAGAUGGGCGUCCACGUUUC
rnacentral:sRNA from 1 species